GAUGAACGCUGGCGGCGUGCCUAAUACAUGCAAGUCGAGCGAACAGACGAGGAGCUUGCUCCUCUGACGUUAGCGGCGGACGGGUGAGUAACACGUGGAUAACCUACCUAUAAUACUGGGGUAAUUUCGGAAAGCCGGAUCUAAUACCGACGAAUAUAUUAAACGGCUUGGUUCAAUAGAUAUUGGGGGUUUUGCUGUCAGUAUUAGAUGAUUCCGGGCCGCAUUAGCUAGUUGGUAAGGUAACGGCUUAUCAAGGCAACGAUGCGUAGCCGACCUGAGAGGGUGAUCGGCCACACUGGAACUGAGACACGGUCCAGACUCCUACGGGAGGCAGCAGUAGGGAAUCUUCCGCAAUGGGCGAAAGCCUGACGCAGCAACGCCGCGUGAGUGAUGAAGGUCUUCGGAUCGUAAAACUCUUUUAUUAGGGAAGAAAAAAUGUGUAAGUAAACAUGCACGUCUUGACGGUACCUAAUCAGAAAGCCACGGCUAACUACGUG
rnacentral:rRNA from 1 species